UAAUACACAACACUGAAUAGGGCGUGCACAAAACACAAAAUUCCACCAAAGAAUAGGAAGUGAUGAUGAGUGAAACCACAUGAACCACUUGACUUGUUGUUUGAUGAAGUUCCUAUCACCAGCAUGCUCAAUCCAACAACUAACAUAAUCUUGAUCAACAAAUCGUAUAUGUUAUGAAAUUGUUCAUCGCACUACAAGAUAGAACUUAGAGGCAUGGC
rnacentral:lncRNA from 1 species